rnacentral:rRNA from 1 species
CCUACGGGUGGCAGCAGUGAGGAAUAUUGGUCAAUGGGCGGGAGCCUGAACCAGCCAAGUCGCGUGAGGGAUGACGGUCCUACGGAUUGUAAACCUCUUUUGCCGGGGAGCAAGCGUGCGUUCGUGAACGCGCGUCGAGAGUACCCGGAGAAAAAGCAUCGGCUAACUCCGUGCCAGCAGCCGCGGUAAUACGGAGGAUGCGAGCGUUAUCCGGAUUUAUUGGGUUUAAAGGGUGCGUAGGCGGUUCGUUAAGUCAGCGGUAAGAUUGCGGGGCUCAACCCCGUCGAGCCGUUGAAACUGGCAGACUUGAGUUGGCGAGAAGUACGCGGAAUGCGCGGUGUAGCGGUGAAAUGCAUAGAUAUCGCGCAGAACUCCGAUUGCGAAGGCAGCGUACCGGCGCCAGACUGACGCUGAGGCACGAAAGCGUGGGGAUCGAACAGGAUUAGAUACCCGUGUAGUC